rnacentral:rRNA from 1 species
GGACGAACGCUGGCGGCGUGCUUAACACAUGCAAGUCGAGCGGUAAGGUCCUUUCGGGGGUACACGAGCGGCGAACGGGUGAGUAACACGUGGGUGACCUGCCCUUAGCUCUGGGGAUAAGCCUGGGAAACUGGGUCUAAUACCGGAUAUGACUCCAUGACGCAUGUUGUGGGGUGGAAAGCCUUGUGCGGCUAGGGAUGGGCCCGCGGCCUAUCAGCUUGUUGGUGGGGUGAUGGCCACCAAGGCGACGACGGGUAGCCGGCCUGAGAGGGCGACCGGCCACACUGGGACUGAGACACGGCCCAGACUCCUACGGGAGGCAGCAGUGGGGAAUCUUGCGCAAUGGGCGAAAGCCU